AUUUUCCAAAUAUCAGCAAAAUCAGACUUUAAAAUUUUUGAAAAUCUGUCUCUCUCUCUCUUAUCGCUCUAGAAUUUUUAAGAGAGAAAGAUACUUUUUUAAUCGAUCUUGCCGUCAGGAUUUGUUUAAAUUUGGCUUCCGUCUGACAUCCAUCAGCUUCUACAAUAGUGGUUGGUCAGCUUCCGUCUAGCAUCGUCUAGCUUGUUUAGUAAUGAUGGCUAGCUUCUGUUAUCCACCGGAGUAGUCCGGUUUUGCUUCCCGUUCUCGAGUUUUCUUUUUCUACUCUUUGUUUUUAUCACAGCUACCUUGUGUCGUGACGUGUUUAGUUUCAGUAAUUCCGUGAUCUAUGAGACGACGGUGUCAAUUCGAUGGCCUUGUUUCGUUUGAUGCGGAUUCCCUUUUGUUAAGUAAGCGGUCUACAACAAGAAUCAACGUUGAUUGCAACUAAGGACUAAGGUAAUGAAAAGGAAGCUUUGUUUUCAGCAAAUUAUGGAUUGCCUAUAGCUGUCUUUACAUGUAUUGGUACUUCGAUUCGAGCAAAUCUCUAUGGAUCAAUCAGAUCUUCCUCCUCUGUUACCUGUUAUUCGUCAGAUCUUUCUUUGUUUGUUGAUUUGACAUGCGGAUGAGGAUGAGACUUCUGUUUUUGUAUCCCUUUCCACUGUAUUAUGCAGUAUCCGGUGAGAAUCAAUAAAAAUCGAUGUUCGCUCAGUUUUUCCGGCGUCGAUUGCAUUCACCGGAUUCGGAGUCGUCGAUGGUAAAGGAUGACGAAUUAUUUCAGAGUUUCUCUUGUGACACGACUUGCUUCACGUGUGUCUAUUUUUGACACGUGUAAUGGCCAUAAAUUUAUCCUUGUUUCCUUGGUGUGAUAUCAUUUGGGCUUUUUAGUGGGCUUGUAAACUUGCAUAUAGAUAUACAAAUUUGAAUAAAAUUUAGUUCACUUGUGAAAAAAAAA